rnacentral:rRNA from 1 species
AACGAACGCUGGCGGCAGGCCUAACACAUGCAAGUCGAGCGCGCCUUCGGGUGAGCGGCGGACGGGUGAGUAACGCGUGGGAAUAUGCCCUUCUCUACGGAAUAGUCCUGGGAAACUGGGGGUAAUACCGUAUACGCCCUUUGGGGGAAAGAUUUAUCGGGGAAGGAUUAGCCCGCGUUGGAUUAGGUAGUUGGUGGGGUAAUGGCCUACCAAGCCGACGAUCCAUAGCUGGUUUGAGAGGAGGAUCAGCCACACUGGGACUGAGACACGGCCCAGACUCCUACGGGAGGCAGCAGUGGGGAAUCUUAGACAAUGGGGGCAACCCUGAUCUAGCCAUGCCGCGUGAGUGAUGAAGGCCUUAGGGUUGUAAAGCUCUUUCAGCUGGGAAGAUAAUGACGGUACCAGCAGAAGAAGCCCCGGCUAACUCCGUG